AAAGGGAGACCUAAUUCAGGUAGGAGACGAAAAAAAAGUAGUCGCUACCAAGAAUCAAUCCCAAAAGGUCGGAGCGAGGCGAAAUUGGCUUUCAAACUAGGUUCUGGGUUCACAGAAGACCUGAAUCAGGAACAAGGGCUAUUAGCUCAGGUGGUUAGAGCGCACCCCUGAUAAGGGUGAGGUCCCUGGUUCGAGUCCAGGAUGGCCCACCUGCACAGGUGGUAAAAACAAGAGAAGCGAGGAAUCAGCACCUUAUCUUACUUACAUAGUAAGAGAGAAUGCUGGCUCUGAGUAAAGAGUCCAGAGGAACCUUGAAAACUGCAUAGAGCUAGGUGAAAAAGCCAAAAAAGAAGACCGCAAG
rnacentral:tRNA from 1 species